rnacentral:rRNA from 1 species
GCGGUAGCACAGAGAGCUUGCUCUCGGGUGACGAGCGGCGGACGGGUGAGUAAUGUCUGGGAAACUGCCUGAUGGAGGGGGAUAACUACUGGAAACGGUAGCUAAUACCGCAUAAUGUCGCAAGACCAAAGUGGGGGACCUUCGGGCCUCAUGCCAUCAGAUGUGCCCAGAUGGGAUUAGCUAGUAGGUGGGGUAACGGCUCACCUAGGCGACGAUCCCUAGCUGGUCUGAGAGGAUGACCAGCCACACUGGAACUGAGACACGGUCCAGACUCCUACGGGAGGCAGCAGUGGGGAAUAUUGCACAAUGGGCGCAAGCCUGAUGCAGCCAUGCCGCGUGUGUGAAGAAGGCCUUCGGGCUUGUAAAGCACUUUCAGCGGGGAGGAAGGCGGUGAGGUUAAUAACCUCAUCGAUUGACGUUACCCGCAGAAGAAGCACCGGCUAACUCCGUGCCAGCAGCCGCGGUAAUACGGAGGGUGCAAGCGUUAAUCGGAAUUACUGGGCGUUCAGCGCACGCAGGCGGUCUGUAAAGUCGGAUGUGAAAUCCCCGGGCUCAACCUGGGAACUGCAUUCGAAACUGGCAGGCUAGAGUCUUGUAGAGGGGGGUAGAAUUCCAGGUGUAGCGGUGAAAUGCGUAGAGAUCUGGAGGAAUACCGGUGGCGAUGGCGGCCCCCUGGACAAAGACUGACGCUCAGGUGCGAAAGCGUGGGGAGCAAACAGGAUUAGAUACCCUGGUAGUCCACGCCGUAAACGAUGUCGAUUUGGAGGUUGUGCCCUUGAGGCGUGGCUUCCGGAGCUAACGCGUUAAAUCGACCGCCUGGGGAGUACGGCCGCAAGGUUAAAACUCAAAUGAAUUGACGGGGGCCCGCACAAGCGGUGGAGCAUGUGGUUUAAUUCGAUGCAACGCGAAGAACCUUACCUGGUCUUGGCAUCCACAGAACUUAGCAGAGAUGCUUUGGUGCCUUCGGGAACUGUGAGACAGGUGCUGCAUGGCUGUCGUCAGCUCGUGUUGUGAAAUGUUGGGUUAAGUCCCGCAACGAGCGCAACCCUUAUCCUUUGUUGCCAGCGGUCCGGCCGGGAACUCAAAGGAGACUGCCAGUGAUAAACUGGAGGAAGGUGGGGAUGACGUCAAGUCAUCAUGGCCCUUACGACCAGGGCUACACACGUGCUACAAUGGCAUAUACAAAGAGAAGCGACCUCGCGAGAGCAAGCGGACCUCAUAAAGUAUGUCGUAGUCCGGAUUGGAGUCUGCAACUCGACUCCAUGAAGUCGGAAUCGCUAGUAAUCGUAGAUCAGAAUGCUACGGUGAAUACGUUCCCGGGCCUUGUACACACCGCCCGUCACACCAUGGGAGUGGGUUGCAAAAGAAGUAGGUAGCUUAACCUUC